UUAACCCUUGAUGAGAUAGGGGUGCAGAGCCCUAGCCAGGGUUCAGCCGAGCGAAGCGAGACAACGUUGCUCGGCGUAGCCGAAAAGCAACGGCCCGAAGGGCGAGGACGCGAAGCGGCCGAGUAAAUAACCUAUCUCUCCGCCA
rfam:Enterovibrio coralii strain CAIM 912 contig00045, whole genome shotgun sequence.